rfam:Salmo salar isolate Sally breed double haploid chromosome ssa11, whole genome shotgun sequence.
UGGCUCAGUUGGUAGAGUAUGGUGUUUCCAACACCAGGGUUGUGGGUUCGAUUCCCAC